rnacentral:rRNA from 1 species
CAGUAGCCACGGUAAUACGGAGGGUGCAAGCGUUAAUCGGAAUUACAGGGCGUAAAGCGCACGCAGGCGGUCUGACAAGUCAGAUGUGAAAUCCCCGGGCUUAACCUGGGAACUGCAUUUGAAACUGUCAGGCUGGAGUCUUGUAGAGGGGGGUAGAAUUCCAGGUGUAGCGGUGAAAUGCGUAGAGAUCUGGAGGAAUACCGGUGGCGAAGGCGGCCCCCUGGACAAAGACUGACGCUCAGGUGCGAAAGCGUGGGGAGCAAACAGGAUUAGAGACCCCAGUAGUCCCUGUCUCUUAUAC